rnacentral:rRNA from 1 species
UACGGAGGGUGCAAGCGUUAAUCGGAAUUACUGGGCGUAAAGCGCACGCAGGCGGUUUGUUAAGUCAGAUGUGAAAUCCCCGAGCUUAACUUGGGAACUGCAUUUGAAACUGGCAAGCUAGAGUCUUGUAGAGGGGGGUAGAAUUCCCGGUGUAGUGGUGGAAUGCGUAGAUAUCGGGAGGAACAUCAGUGGCGAAAGCGGCACCCUGGCAUUAGCCUGACGCUCAUGUGCGAAAGCGUGGGGAGCGAACGGG